rnacentral:rRNA from 1 species
GACCAGACUGUGAUCCGAGGAUGUCCGAAUGGGGAAACCCACUACCCGUCAUGGGGUAGUACUCCCGCCUGAACACAUAGGGCGGCGAGAGGGAACCGGGUGAAUUGAAACAUCUCAGUAACCCGAGGAAAGGAAAGUAACAACGACUCCGUAAGUAGCGGCGAGCGAACGCGGAUGAGCCUAAACCUGGCUGGUGUGAUAGCCCAGCAGCGUUGCCAACCAGGGGUCGUGGGACCAAAUAGAGAAGGGCUGGCCUUCUCACAGAGUUACAAACGUGCUGUGUAGUGGAACCGUCUGGAAAGUCGGACCGCAGGGGGUAACAGUCCCGUACACGAAACAUAUGCACACUCUGAUUUGUGCUCCCGAGUAACGCCGGAUCCGGGAAAGCCGGCGUGAAUCCACGAGGACCACCUCGUAAGGCUAAGUAUACGUAGACGACCGAUAGUGCACUAGUACCGUGAGGG